rnacentral:rRNA from 1 species
GUUGCGAACGGGUGAGUAACGCGUAGGUAACCUGCCUUGUAGCGGGGGAUAACUAUUGGAAACGAUAGCUAAUACCGCAUAACAAUGGAUGACCCAUGUCAUUUAUUUGAAAGGGGCAAAUGCUCCACUACAAGAUGGACCUGCGUUGUAUUAGCUAGUAGGUGAGGUAACGGCUCACCUAGGCGACGAUACAUAGCCGACCUGAGAGGGUGAUCGGCCACACUGGGACUGAGACACGGCCCAGACUCCUACGGGAGGCAGCAGUAGGGAAUCUUCGGCAAUGGGGGCAACCCUGACCGAGCAACGCCGCGUGAGUGAAGAAGGUUUUCGGAUCGUAAAGCCCUGUUGUAAGUCAAGAACGAGUGUGAGAGUGGAAAGUUCACACUGUGACGGUAGCUUACCAGAAAGGGACGGCUAACUACGUGCCAGCAGCCGCGGUAAUACGUAGGUCCCGAGCGUUGUCCGGAUUUAUUGGGCGUAAAGCGAGCGCAGGCGGUUUGAUAAGUCUGAAGUUAAAGGCUGUGGCUCAACCAUAGUUCGCUUUGGAAACUGUCAAACUUGAGUGCAGAAGGGGAGAGUGGAAUUCCAUGUGUAGCGGUGAAAUGCGUAGAUAUAUGGAGGAACACCGGUGGCGAAAGCGGCUCUCUGGUCUG